rnacentral:lncRNA from 1 species
UCCCCUUUGUUAAAAUCUAAGUGCAGGUCUCUCUUCUCUGGCGAGUCAUUCCAAUCAUUCCGUUGGGGCUCUGCAUCCCAUCUGAAUGGGUACAUUACCCAUCCAGAAUCAGCCAUCAGCUCUGCUCCGGUAGAACCUGUUGCUCAUUCCACGAUCAAAUAUUAUAACAUUUUGCUCACUCCAUGAUUUGAUGGUACACAUUUUGUAGAUACCAACAAAAGCAGUGUGGUAGUCCAUCGCUGAAUUGUAUUGUCCUUUGCUUCUGGGUAUAGAACUACAUAUCACAUGGACCUCUCCCUGGAAGCAAGCAAUCAUCUUUGACUCGUGAGGUCUAACUUCCCAUUUCUCUUAGAAUUUUAGAAAUGGUACCAUGCUUACAAGUUAAUGUAGGAGAGUUAAUCCGAACUAUACAAAUGAAGUCAGAGUUUAGUUAAACUUGUUAAACAUUUUUCAUAGAUAAUGUAUUUUGUCUUAUGUACUAUAUGUUAUCACGUUUUUUAUGUAAUAUGGGCUCUUUUGUUAUGAAAAAUAAAAUAGGUGUCUUAAGUAUUCUCUCUUCUCCGUUCAGUCCAUCAAACUAAUCCAUGAUAUAUGGUAUGUAGUUCUUCUCUCAUGGAUGAGCGACCACCUGAAGGUGCUUCGGUAUAGUUCUUCCAUUCUUCAAUGAAAUAUUACAUUGACUUUCCAUGGCCUGGAAGAAAAAGACUGUAGUUAAUUUCUGUGGUUGAGAUAAUUACUACAAAAGGUGUUGGUCUUUUGGUCAGGCUGCAGAUUUGGCUAUUUAUGUAUGUUAUUUUAUAAAUUGUAUCUGGUGUUUGCAAAUAGUUGACAUGUUGGCAUUUUUUCUAAGACACAUGAAGUGGAGUUUUGACCUCUUUGAUUAGUGUCCAACAUAUAUGUGUUAGUAUAUGGAAAUUUAACUUUAUUUUUCAUGAUUCCAUGCAUUUGUGGAAG